AAGUAUAUCCACAUCUUCCUCACUUCAUCAUCACCAUAUUCACGUUCUCCUUUCAUUGAAACACAGAAAUCUCCCACUCUCAAGAACUCUAAUCCCUAAUCGCCAUUUUUGCACUCUUCAUUUUACAGCGUCAACCGACGACGAUUCUCUCUCCUCCCAAUUCAUCCCCGAAUUUCACAUCCACCGUCAAUGAUUUCUCACAUCCACCGUCAAUGAUUUCUCACCCUCAAUCUUUCAACCAAACACAGACCAACAAUCUGUAACGCAAUCAAACCCACUUUAUCCUCCAACUGGCUUGUUUCCCAUGAUUUAUCUGCCAAAACCGCUUCUCCAUGGCUUCCCAACUUCGAAGAACUUGACACCACCAACAUGCUUCUCCGUCAAAGGAUUGUCUUUUUUGGGUUCUCAGGUGGAUGAUACGACAGCAGAUUUUGUAAUCAGUCAACUUUUGUUUUUGGAUGCUGAUGAUCCUAAGAAAGACAUCAAGUUGUUCAUAAAUUCACCUGGUGGUUCUGUUACUGCUGGAAUGUGAAUUUAUGAUGCCAUGAAGUUAUGCAAGGCAGAUGUGUCAACAGUUUGUCUCAGACUUGCAGCAUCCAUGGGUGCAUUUCUCCUUGCUGCUGGUACAAAAGGGAAGAGAUAUUGUAUGCCGAAUUCUAGAGUUAUGAUCCAUCAACCGAAAUCUGAUGAUGAUGACCUUUGCUAUUGAGGAGUUAGGGAUCAACAUCUUUCAGGUUAAAAUUGGAGAAUCAAAUUUAGAAUCCAUCAACUUGUUCAAAAAAUUGGGGUUUGUGGAAACUUCACAUAGCAACAUUUUCAAAGAGGUCGAUACAAACCGAUUCUGGUUCGGUCUCGUCAUAUGUAUAGUAUGAUUUUUCGGUGAAUGUUGUUCAUAGUAUUAGUCAUUUAGUACGCCAUCAAAAGUCAUUUGGAACGACGUCGGAACCAACUCAGAUUUGGUUAAUGUUGUCAUGAUUGAUGACAGAGCGGGGGACUAAUAAUCAGUUCACGCAAAGAAUUCGUAUGACUUUAAGGGGUCUAUCUUCUAGGGGUUUCAAUCAUAUCAUAGACGAUAUCAUAUUCCCGGAAAAAUCGAAGAGCGCCAUGGAUGUAAUUUCUAAUAAAAGUACUGAGCCUAAAACAUGAACGGACAGCGGCAAAGGCUAACGGCAACAUCACUGUUCUUUAGUUCUUUGCUUUUCUUCUUCGCUUUCUUCUUUUUCCGAUUUUGAUUAGCGAUCUCAAAUUGAGUCUUGUUGAUUGCGUGUUGUUGAUAGAAUUAGAAGUUGACUAUCGUGUUGUUGUUGAUGCAGAUGAAUGAAGAUGAGCGACGUGUAUUUCAUUGCAAAGAUGAUGAAGCUUCAAUGGCUCUGAGAUUGGUGCGAUAGAAUUGCGUUUAUCAAUCGAUGAAGAGAAAGAAUCAGCAGAGAUAGAGAGAGCUCUCUGUGUGAUUGAAGAACUGUGAAGAUGAACGAAAUGGAGAGUGAAUUGUGGAGGAGAAGAAGAAUGGUGGAGGAAAUGGUGGAGGAAAGAUGGUGUGGGAAAGUGGAGAAGAGAAUCCAGAGACCCUGUAAGUGAUGGAAGUGCUGACUUAUAUAGAUUCAAAAGGCAGAGACUUCAGGUUGGUUAUCCUUCUGAUUCUUUGUUUCAUGUUAGUUACAAUUCGGUUAGGGAUUAGUUAUGAAACUGUUAGAAGUUAGGGUGAAACUGAAUUGACAGUUAGUGGGUUGUUGGGUUAGGAUAGGUUAGUUGUGAGUCGUGACUGACUUACUACUACUGAUAAAUCAAAUGAAAGAUUCAGAUUAAUAAUUCAAAUCAAAUGUGUUUGUACUGAUCUGAAACUAAGUUUCUUCUGGUAGAAAUUAAUAAGUUUCUGUUAAAGUUGGUCCUGCACAUCCAAUGCUCUUAUUUGUAUUUAUUUAGGGUUUUUCUUUAUCAACAUGUUUGUUUUAGUCAAUUAAUUCACAAAUCUCAUUAACUCAUCUAUUAAUUUGUUUUUGUUAUCGUGAUUUUCCAUUCAAAUCUUUAUUUAUAAAAUAUUGGCAUGACAUAAUCACUAACUAAUUUUCAUGUAAGACUACCACAGUAAUAGCCAUAGGGACUUCUCUAUUUUUAUAAAAUAUCAUGUCAGAAUUCAAAUGUUUGACAAAAUAUUUUGGAUGAAGAAUUACUAUACUGACAAUUUUGUAUAUAAUCCGUAAACUGAGAGGCUAAAAUAAAAUAAAAAGCUUGGAUAGGGACACAACUGAAAGAUACUAGGACAGCAAAUUUUAUACAGCUAUCCUGGCGGAGCUAGCCUACAAUAUAUUGUUUCCUAGCUAUUCCUUGUUCUGAAGCAUAAAUGUUUGUUUGCUUGAUCAUUUAUUUCUAUCAUUCCCUCGUUCAAUCAUGGGUCUACCUCUUGGAUCCAAGAGUGCUCCUAUCAUAUUUGAUAUUACACAUGAUACUGUUUCACCCACUUUGUCUACUAACAUCUUGUUCGUUAAACAUAAGUGUCAGUCUUAUUGAUUUUUAUAGGAUACCUUCACUAAAAAUUCUGUUGUGAUGUGAUGCCCCGACUCGGCAAUUCGUAUUACUUGUGAGAAGUGCUACUGUUUGGAUAUUUUUAUUUUGUUUCAACAUUUCAUUCUUCGGAUAGAACUAUUGAUAUGAUUAGAGCUGAUGAUGUAAAGAUCAGCCGAUGAUGUUAUUUCUCCGAAAAAGAUCAGCCGAUGGUAACAUUGAAGAGGUUCUAUGUAUACCAUGUAUGUUGUUCAAGUACACACACAUCUUUUUUUGGUUUAUUUUGAUAAUGUGCAGGGAUAUAGUAUGGACUGAAAGAAUUUCGGUUAUGUACGAUGCGGGUUAUGAAUGUGGUUUUGGUAGCAAGUGUUCAAAAAAAUUGCUUAAGUUCAGUGAUGUUGCUAUAAGAGCAUAUAUAGUUUUCUGACAGUGAAAUCAAAGGGAAAUCAAAGGGCUUAUCGUGAUAAAAUUUAUUUCUGUUGUAUGUAGUUCUCGUUGGAUCUGUAAAAAAAAUGUGAUGAUUGCUAUUUGCUAUUCACUCUAAAUUGGAGUUCCCUCGAGCUCAAACAACAUAAUGAAAAACUCACAUGGAAAGUAGUAUAUAUGUUUGAAUAUUUGUAUCCAACUUCAGCAAGCUCUCAUGCAUUCACGUUAAUGCUCUUCAAGUGCCUAAUUGAUGAAGUUUUGGACAUUUUUACAGUGAAUAUUUAAUGAAAGAUAUUCUUUCAAAUGUAAGGAAGUAAAAGGGAUUUUACAGUGAAUAUUUAAUGAAAGAUAUUCUUUCAAAUGUAAGGAAGUAAAAGGGAUUUUGAUUGGCAUUUUUAAAAAUUGAUCUUAACGGGAUUCGAACUCACUCCAUCUAACUAAAUGCAUGUAUUGCUCGCCACCAGACUACUCAUGUUUUUUGUUAAAUGUUGGCAAAACAUAAGUAUAUAAUGAAUACUUUCUUUAGUAGCAAAUUGGCAUAUUUAAUGUAUAUAAUGAAUAUUUUAUAUAUUAAUAUUAAAUUUUAUUUAAAAUGUUAAAUAA